rnacentral:piRNA from 1 species
UGUCAAACUACUUAUGGGUUAAAAAUCCAUU